rnacentral:rRNA from 1 species
GAUGAACGCUGGCGGCGUGCCUAAUACAUGCAAGUCGAGCGGACAGACGAGGAGUUUGCUCGUCUGCCGUUGGCGGCGGGCGGGUGAUUAACACGUGGAUAACCUACCUAUAAGGCUGAGAUCACUUCGGGAAACCGGAGAUAAUACCGGAUAAUAUAUUGAACCGCAUGGUUCAUUAGAGAUAGCCGGUUUUGCUGUCACUUGUAGGUGGUUCCGCGCCGCAUUAGCUAGUUGGUACGGUAACGGCCUACCAAGGCAACGAUGCGUAGCUGACCUGAGAGGAUGAUCGGCCACACUGGAACUGAGACACGGUCCAGACUCCUACGGGAGGCAGCAGUAGGGAAUCUUCCGCAAUGGGCGAAAGCCUGACGGAGCAACGCCGCGUGAGUGAUGAAGGUCUUCGGAUCGUAAAGCUCUGUUAUUAGGGAAGAACAAAUGUGUAAUAAACCAUGCCCGUCUUGACGGUACCUAAACAGAAAGCCACGGCUAACUACGUG